UUAAGGAAAAAUGUUAAUAUAUUUUGACUUUUAGUAUCACUUUUGAAUAUAAAGAGUGUAUUAAUGUUUAGUUGCUAAAAUCUUCUAAUUUAUAAAUUUCGUGCUACACUUUUUUUCCUUUAUAAUUAGGCCCUCUAUAUUCUUACCACUUAACCAUGAUCGCAGGUGCACCGGUAAAGCCAAGCAAGCUCAUGUCAGAGCAAAGAAGAAGCAAUAGGAAAAAAACUUUAACUACGAGUACUGCCAUAGUGGGUUUUGGGGAGAGCGCUCGGGCUUCACCGACUGAGUUAAUGGAAAGCUUCUGCUGUGAUUCUCUCCUGCGGCAUGCCACAAGGAUUUAUUGGUUGACUUUUCCUUAACUUGUCGUCUUUCAAUUGUACGUCUCAGGAAAUUUGGUCUAGAGCAGGAGUAGGGGCAACUAAAAAAGAUAUUCCAGUACACAUAAUGGCUACUCGUCACGGUCCAGAAUUAUGUACUGUUCUUCCAGCUCUUUACCACUUGACUGGUGCUGAUUAUACAAGUAAAGUUGGAACCAAGUGUAGUGCUCUUUGUGCUAAUCCAAUAAAAUUUCUUAGUAACUUGGCUAAAGGGUACAUCUGAAAUUCAAGUCGAUGAUUCAGUGCAGCGUGCGGAAGAGUAUCUUGUUCAGGUACUUCGCCAAGGUAACUCAUCAAAAACAUUUGAUGAUUUAAGAUAUUGGCUGUAUCACCAUGGCAAAACUUUUUCUGUCACACUAUUGUCACCUACGAGUGCAUCAAUCAGACUACAUAUUUUACGAGCAUUUUUUGUUGUUUAUACCCAAAACAAUUGCUUGAAAGAAGAAACAUUGCCUUUGAGUCCUCUGAUGUUUAGAUACAAGCUAGAAAAUGACAUCCUUAUUCCAAAAUCUGCUGAUAAUAUAUUUCCUUCAGCCGAAGAAUUAGUGCCGAAUUGCAAUUGUGCUAAAUGUGCACGUAAAAAUAAUUGUUGUUGCCGUGUAGCGGAAUUGCCUUGCUGUUCUUUUUGUCGUUGUCGCAUAACAACUCAAUGUAAAAAUCCUUAUGACAUGUAAAUAGCGAUUUGAAAUAUAAUGUUUUCA